rnacentral:rRNA from 1 species
GAUGAACGCUGGCGGCGUGCUUAACACAUGCAAGUCGAACGAAGCACUUAAGAUUGAUUCUUCGGAUGACGUCUUUUGUGACUUAGUGGCGGACGGGUGAGUAACGCGUGGGUAACCUGCCUCACACAGGGGGAUAACAGUUAGAAAUGACUGCUAAUACCGCAUACCCCGAUAGGAUCGCAUGAUCCAGACGGAAAAGAUUUAUCGGUGUGAGAUGGACCCGCGUCUGAUUAGCUAGUUGGUGAGGUAACGGCCCACCAAGGCGACGAUCAGUAGCCGGCCUGAGAGGGUGAACGGCCACAUUGGGACUGAGACACGGCCCAAACUCCUACGGGAAGCAGCAGUGGGGAAUAUUGCACAAUGGGGGAAACCCUGAUGCAGCGACGCCGCGUGAGUGAAGAAGUAUUUCGGUAUGUAAAGCUCUAUCAGCAGGGAAGAAAAUGACGGUACCUGACUAAGAAGCCCCGGCUAACUACGUG